UACGUAGGGGGCAAGCGUUGUCCGGAAUCAUUGGGCGUAAAGAGCGUGUAGGCGGCUCGGUAAGUCCGCUGUGAAAGUCCAGGGCUCAACCCUGGAAUGCCGGUGGAAACUGUCGAGCUAGAGUCCGGAAGAGGCGAGUGGAAUUCCCGGUGUAGUGGUGAAAUGCGUAGAUAUCGGGAGGAACACCAGUGGCGAAGGCGACUUCCUGGCCUGUUCUUGACGCUGAGGCGCGAAAGCUAGGGUAGCAAACGGG
rnacentral:rRNA from 1 species